rnacentral:lncRNA from 1 species
GUAAAUGUAUAAAAAUAAAUAAAAACAAUAUCUACAUAUAUAAAGGAAUAUAUCUGGAAUGUUCUUUGGACAGCUGUCAUGAUUCCCAAAUGAACGAUCAAGAUGAGUUUGAUGAAGAUAAGAUCUGAUUGUGAUCAAAGGUUGAGAUGAUUUCGAGAAAUAGGAAAGAGAAUAAAAAUGUCCUAAAGAUGAGAGAUAAUCAAACUUUGUCCCUCACCUUUUGUCC